UACGUAGGGCGCGAGCGUUGUCCGGAUUUAUUGGGCGUAAAGAGCUCGUAGGCGGCUUGUCGCGUCGUCCGUGAAAACUUGGGGCUCAACCCCAAGCUUGCGGUCGAUACGGGCAGGCUAGAGUUCGGUAGGGGAGACUGGAAUUCCUGGUGUAGCGGUGAAAUGCGCAGAUAUCAGGAGGAACACCGGUGGCGAAGGCGGGUCUCUGGGCCGAUACUGACGCUGAGGAGCGAAAGCGUGGGAGCGAACAGG
rnacentral:rRNA from 1 species